rnacentral:rRNA from 1 species
CAGUAGCCGCGGUAAUACGUAGGGUGCAAGCGUUAAUCGGAAUUACUGGGCGUAAAGCGUGCGCAGGCGGUUCGCUAAGACAGAUGUGAAAUCCCCGGGCUUAACCUGGGAACUGCAUUUGUGACUGGCGGGCUAGAGUAUGGCAGAGGGGGGUAGAAUUCCACGUGUAGCAGUGAAAUGCGUAGAGAUGUGGAGGAAUACCGAUGGCGAAGGCAGCCCCCUGGGCCAAUACUGGCGCUCAUGCACGAAAGCGUGGGGAGCAAACAGGAUUAGAUACCCCUGUAGUCCCUGUCUCUUAUAU